UGGUCAAGUUAUUAAGGGUGCAGGGCGGAUGCCUUGGCACUAGGAGCCGAUGAAGGACGUGAUAAGCUGCGAUAAGCUUCGGGGAGUUGCACGUAAACUUUGAUCCGAAGAUUUCCGAAUGAGGAAACUCACUUAGAGUAAUGUCUAAGUAUCAUUAAGUGAAUACAUAGCUUAAUGAGGGGAACUCAGGGAACUGAAACAUCUAAGUACCUGAAGGAAGAGAAAGAAAUUCGAUUCCGUAAGUAG
rnacentral:rRNA from 1 species